rnacentral:rRNA from 1 species
UAGUCCACGCAGUAAACGAUGAUUACUAGGAGUUUGCGAUACAGUGUAAGCUCUACAGCGAAAGCGUUAAGUAAUCCACCUGGGGAGUACGCCGGCAACGGUGAAACUCAAAGGAAUUGACGGGGGCCCGCACAAGCGGAGGAACAUGUGGUUUAAUUCGAUGAUACGCGAGGAACCUUACCCGGGUUUGAACGCAGUUGGACCGAGGUGGAAACAUCUCUUCUAGCAAUAGCCGACUGCG